rnacentral:tRNA from 1 species
GGGCGAAUGGUUUAGUGGUAUAAUAUUCCCUUAGCAUCAAAUGAACAUCGUUCAUCCAGCAUGGGAAUGGUCCAGGGUUCGAGUAAGUUCUUCUG